ensembl:lncRNA LINC02133 long intergenic non-protein coding RNA 2133
GUACAAACCGAUGGCAUCUCCCAGGCAUUUCUGAACCAUUUUCACGUGCCUCUACUCUCCGGCCGUCUCCACACCACCCUGUGUUCUGCCAAAGGGAGCUAAAAUGAGCCCUGUUUUACCAAACCACUCAAGCACGGCUGACACAGUGUGUUGCUGCAGAAGGAUCGGGGUGGGUGGGAGUAGGGACAGUGCAGAGAGAAAGAAAGGAGUGCAUGCUACAUCUCUCCCUCUCCAAGAGGACUUGGCAGAAAGCCCAUGCAUGUUUCAAGCUUGUUUUGACAGUUCCAUGACAGGAGUCAUAGGGCUGUAGCUGUAGAAAGCCCAAGAAACACAUUUUUGUUAUCCCAUCAAAAUCUUCCCGGGGAGCUACAUUGUUGGGGCAAGUUAUGUGUCAUCACUGGCAUCAAAAGAGAAAAAGAAAUGAAUGAUCUGGCUCAGGUGCCAAGGCUCUCGUCCUGAGGAGGGAAAUGACAUUUAUUGAGCCCCUGCAAUAGCAACAACAAAUUAUUAUUAUUGGGCACUUUGCAUGUGCCAGGCACUGGGAUAAAACACAGGCAUGGACUCAGCAAUCCCGAUGACUGUCCUUGGAUACAGGCUGUGCUAAUUAUCCCCCUUUUAAAGACCAGGCAAUGGAGGCGCAGAGGGGCCAGGUGAUGUGCCCGAGGCUGCAUGGCAGUAAGUGGCGAAGGUGGGAUUUGAACUGGUUUGCCUCUCCCAGAGUCCAAAUCCUUCCUUGCAACGCAGAGCUGCUCUGACUGUAAGGAGUGUGGGGUCUCUCCUCAGAGUCCCAGAUACUCAGGAUCUCAUUUAAUCUUCGCAACAACCCUGAGGCAUAGGGGUUUUUAGAUCUGCUUUACAGAUGAAGAAACUGAGGUCCAGGGAGGCUUAGUGAUGCCCAAAGCCACACCUCCAGAAGCAGCAGGAUCUGCAGGCACAGCUGGGUGUCCUGGCCCUGGGUCAAGCGACUUUCCUACUGACUUCCACCCACAAGGGCUGCAUGAUGGUUAAUACUGAGUAACAACUUGAUCAGAUUGAAGGAUGCAAAGUAUUGUUUCUGGGUGUGUCUUCGAGGGUGUUGCCAAAGGAGAUUAAUAUUUGAGUCAGUGGGCUAGGGAAGGCAGACCCACCCUUAAUCUGGUGGGCACAAUCUAAUCAGCUGCCAACGAAUAUAAAGCAGGCAGAAAAAUGUGAAAAGGCGAGACUGGCUUAGCCUCCAGCCCAUAUCUUUCUCCCGUGCUGGAUGCUUCCUGCCCUCGAACAUCAGACUCCAAGUUCUUCAGUUUUGGGACUCUGCCUGGCUCUCCUUGCUCUUCAAGCCUGCAGAUGGCCUAUUGUGGGACCUUGUGAUCAUAGAAGAACAACCUCCUGCCCUUGCCCUGAAUCCUGAGGAAGGUGAUGCACUCACAACAAGGGCAUCCCAGUCCUGGGGAAGGGCAGGAAGGACCCACCCUCAUCAGUCCCUGACAACUCCCACCCUUGUCCUUGGUCACCUUGGAAAUGAAAAGGUUCUCAGAAGGCAGUCACAUCUGGACAGCAUUCCUUGACUACGCAUCAAUAUUCCAUCAUGUCAUUGCCGGCUGUGAGGAGGAAAGUGACCUCCUAAACAAAUCCGUGCACGUGUAAAUGACAGCUGCUGGUUUGAAUCUGUUUCUUCUCCCACCACUUCCUCUUCUGAUCAAAGAGCCCACCUUUUCAUUUGGAGGAACCAUUUCUCAACUGGUCUCAUUCUGUGAGGUUUAGAGUUCUCUUUUUGAGGCAGUUCAAGUGGAAAAAGAAAUAACCUAGAAGCAAGUAAAACAACCUUAUUCAAAAACAACAAAAAUCCUUCAGGGUUUUCACAAACGUAGUGAAUUUUCAGCUUGUAAUUUGCUGUCUCCGGUGAGCGCGGUGCUGAGAAGACCCGUGAUGCUCUCUUUGAAGCCCAUUUGCGGCAUGCCCCAGGCCUGGGACCUCCAUUAAGCACCAGGGCCUCGCCAAGCACCGAUAUUUGUUGAGUACCUUCCAUUUGCUAAAUACUGUGCUUUGAAGGCACUGGGAAUUCAAUGAUGAGCAAAGUAGAUAUGGUCCUUGACCUCAUGGAGCUUGAGGGAAAAUGAAGAAGACAUUCACCUAAAUAAAUAGAUAAUUGCAAAAUUUAAUACAUCAAAUUUAAGUCAAUAUUAUUGAGAUAUAAUUACAUACAAUAAAAUUCACACAUAUGAAGUCUAUAGGUCAAUGACUUUUGACAAAUGCCACCAUUUAUGUAACCAACAUCCUAAUUAAGAUAUAGAACAUUUCCAUCAUUUCCAUCUCUCCAAAAGCUUCCUCACAUGCCUUCCCAGUCAAUCUCCCCGUAUCUAAAUCCUACUAUCUGCUUACCACCUCUGAUUAUUUUUGCCUACUUUAGAAUUUCAUAUAAAUGGAAUAAUACAGCAUACAUUGUUUUGUGUAUGUUUUCUUUCCCUCAGCCUAAUGUCUCUGAGAUUCCCCCAUGUUGCUGUGUGUAGCAUGACCUGUUCCUUUAUAUGGCUGAGUAUGUACAUAAGGGUGUACCACAAUUUGUUUAUCAAUUCACCUGUUGAUGGACAUUUGGGUUGUUUACAGCUUUUGUCAAUUUUUAAUAAAGCUUCUGUAUACAUUUGUGUUC